AGCCACAGCCAUGUCACCCUGCAGUCCAAGACCGGUUACUCACUGAAGCUAAGCAGGGCUGAGCCUGGUCAGUACCUGGAUGGGAGACCACUAGGGAACACUAGGUUGCUGUUGGAA
rnacentral:rRNA from 1 species